rnacentral:rRNA from 1 species
GACGAACCGUGCGAACGUUAUUCGGAAUUACUGGGCUUAAAGGGCGCGUAGGCGGCGCAGUAAGUUGGGUGUGAAAUCCCUCGGCUUAACCGAGGAAUUGCGCCCAAAACUACUGUGCUCGAGGGAGAUAGAGGUGAGCGGAACUUAGGGUGGAGCGGUGAAAUGCGUUGAUAUCCUAAGGAACACCGGUGGCGAAAGCGGCUCACUGGAUCUCUUCUGACGCUGAGGCACGAAAGCUAGGGUAGCAAACGGG